rnacentral:rRNA from 1 species
UUAAGCGACUAAGCGUACACGGUGGAUGCCCUGGCAGUCAGAGGCGAUGAAGGACGUGCUAAUCUGCGAUAAGCGUCGGUGAGGUGAUAUGAACCGUUAUAACCGGCGAUUUCCGAAUGGGGAAACCCAGUGUGAUUCGUCACACUAUCAUUAACUGAAUCCAUAGGUUAAUGAGGCGAACCGGGGGAACUGAAACAUCUAAGUACCCCGAGGAAAAGAAAUCAACCGAGAUUCCCCCAGUAGCGGCGAGCGAACGGGGAGGAGCCCAGAGCCUGAAUCAGUGUGUGUGUUAGUGGAAGCGUCUGGAAAGGCGCGCGAUACAGGGUGACAGCCCCGUACACAAAAAUGCACAUGCUGUGAGCUCGAUGAGUAGGGCGGGACACGUGGUAUCCUGUCUGAAUAUGGGGGGGCCAUCCUCCAAGGCUAAAUACUCCUGACUGACCGAUAGUGAACCAGUACCGUGAGGGAAAGGCGAAAAGAACCCCGGCGAGGGGAGUGAAAAAGAACCUGAAACCGUGUACGUACAAGCAGUGGGAGCCUCUUAAUGGGGUGACUGCGUACCUUUUGUAUAAUGGGUCAGCGACUUAUAUUCUGUAGCAAGGUUAACCGAAUAGGGGAGCCGAAGGGAAACCGAGUCUUAACUGGGCGUUAAGUUGCAGGGUAUAGACCCGAAACCCGGUGAUCUAGCCAUGGGCAGGUUGAAGGUUGGGUAACACUAACUGGAGGACCGAACCGACUAAUGUUGAAAAAUUAGCGGAUGACUUGUGGCUGGGGGUGAAAGGCCAAUCAAACCGGGAGAUAGCUGGUUCUCCCCGAAAGCUAUUUAGGUAGCGCCUCGUGAAUUCAUCUCCGGGGGUAGAGCACUGUUUCGGCAAGGGGGUCAUCCCGACUUACCAACCCGAUGCAAACUGCGAAUACCGGAGAAUGUUAUCACGGGAGACACACGGCGGGUGCUAACGUCCGUCGUGAAGAGGGAAACAACCCAGACCGCCAGCUAAGGUCCCAAAGUCAUGGUUAAGUGGGAAACGAUGUGGGAAGGCCCAGACAGCCAGGAUGUUGGCUUAGAAGCAGCCAUCAUUUAAAGAAAGCGUAAUAGCUCACUGGUCGAGUCGGCCUGCGCGGAAGAUGUAACGGGGCUAAACCAUGCACCGAAGCUGCGGCAGCGACACUAUGUGUUGUUGGGUAGGGGAGCGUUCUGUAAGCCUGUGAAGGUGGCCUGUGAGGGUUGCUGGAGGUAUCAGAAGUGCGAAUGCUGACAUAAGUAACGAUAAAGCGGGUGAAAAGCCCGCUCGCCGGAAGACCAAGGGUUCCUGUCCAACGUUAAUCGGGGCAGGGUGAGUCGACCCCUAAGGCGAGGCCGAAAGGCGUAGUCGAUGGGAAACAGGUUAAUAUUCCUGUACUUGGUGUUACUGCGAAGGGGGGACGGAGAAGGCUAUGUUGGCCGGGCGACGGUUGUCCCGGUUUAAGCGUGUAGGCUGGUUUUCCAGGCAAAUCCGGAAAACCAAGGCUGAGGCGUGAUGACGAGGCACUACGGUGCUGAAGUGACAAAUGCCCUGCUUCCAGGAAAAGCCUCUAAGCAUCAGGUAACAUCAAAUCGUACCCCAAACCGACACAGGUGGUCAGGUAGAGAAUACCAAGGCGCUUGAGAGAACUCGGGUGAAGGAACUAGGCAAAAUGGUGCCGUAACUUCGGGAGAAGGCACGCUGAUAUGUAGGUGAAGCGACUUGCUCGUGGAGCUGAAAUCAGUCGAAGAUACCAGCUGGCUGCAACUGUUUAUUAAAAACACAGCACUGUGCAAACACGAAAGUGGACGUAUACGGUGUGACGCCUGCCCGGUGCCGGAAGGUUAAUUGAUGGGGUUAGCGGUAACGCGAAGCUCUUGAUCGAAGCCCCGGUAAACGGCGGCCGUAACUAUAACGGUCCUAAGGUAGCGAAAUUCCUUGUCGGGUAAGUUCCGACCUGCACGAAUGGCGUAAUGAUGGCCAGGCUGUCUCCACCCGAGACUCAGUGAAAUUGAACUCGCUGUGAAGAUGCAGUGUACCCGCGGCAAGACGGAAAGACCCCGUGAACCUUUACUAUAGCUUGACACUGAACAUUGAGCCUUGAUGUGUAGGAUAGGUGGGAGGCUUUGAAGUGUGGACGCCAGUCUGCAUGGAGCCGACCUUGAAAUACCACCCUUUAAUGUUUGAUGUUCUAACGUUGGCCCCUAAUCGGGGUUGCGGACAGUGUCUGGUGGGUAGUUUGACUGGGGCGGUCUCCUCCUAAAGAGUAACGGAGGAGCACGAAGGUUGGCUAAUCCUGGUCGGACAUCAGGAGGUUAGUGCAAUGGCAUAAGCCAGCUUGACUGCGAGCGUGACGGCGCGAGCAGGUGCGAAAGCAGGUCAUAGUGAUCCGGUGGUUCUGAAUGGAAGGGCCAUCGCUCAACGGAUAAAAGGUACUCCGGGGAUAACAGGCUGAUACCGCCCAAGAGUUCAUAUCGACGGCGGUGUUUGGCACCUCGAUGUCGGCUCAUCACAUCCUGGGGCUGAAGUAGGUCCCAAGGGUAUGGCUGUUCGCCAUUUAAAGUGGUACGCGAGCUGGGUUUAGAACGUCGUGAGACAGUUCGGUCCCUAUCUGCCGUGGGCGCUGGAGAACUGAGGGGGGCUGCUCCUAGUACGAGAGGACCGGAGUGGACGCAUCACUGGUGUUCGGGUUGUCAUGCCAAUGGCACUGCCCGGUAGCUAAAUGCGGAAGAGAUAAGUGCUGAAAGCAUCUAAGCACGAAACUUGCCCCGAGAUGAGUUCUCCCUGAGACUUAGAGUCUCCUGAAGGAACGUUGAAGACGACGACGUUGAUAGGCCGGGUGUGUAAGCGCAGCGAUGCGUUGAGCUAACCGGUACUAAUGAACCGUGAGGCUUAACCUU